AAGAGCGCAGCUAGCUGUGAUAAAUAGUGCGAAUUGCAGACACACUGAGCAAUAAAAUUUCGAACGCACACUGCGCCACUGGGUUCAUUCCCAAUGACAUGUCUGGCUGAGGGCAA
rnacentral:rRNA from 1 species